rnacentral:rRNA from 1 species
CCUACGUGAGGCAGCAUUGAGGAAUAUUGGUCAAUGGGCGGGAGCCUUAACCAGCCAAUUCGCGUGAGUGAAGACGGUCCUAUGGAUUGUAAACCUCUUUAGGCGGGGAGCAAUAACGGGAACGCGUGCCCGACGGGAGAGUACCCGCACAAUAAGCAUAGGCUCACUCCGUGCCAGCAGCCGCGGUACGACGGAGGAUGCGAGCGUUAUACGGAUUUAUUGGGUUUAAAGGUUGCGUAUGCGGAUUUUUAAGUCUGCGGUAAACAGUCGGGGCGCAACCCGGGCCUGCCGUUGAAACUGGGGAGCUUGAGUGUGCGUGAAGUAUGCGGAAUGCGUGGUGUAGCGGUGAAAUGCAUAGAUAGCACGCAGAACUCCGAUUGCGAAGGCAGCAUACCGGAGCCCGACUGACGCUGAGGCACGAAAGCGUGGGGAUCGAACAGGAUUAGAUACCCUGGUAGUC